GACACGGUCCAAACUCCUACGGGAGGCAGCAGUGAGGAAUAUUGGUCAAUGGACGAGAGUCUGAACCAGCCAAGUAGCGUGAAGGAUGAAGGUUCUAUGGAUUGUAAACUUCUUUUAUACGGGAAUAAACGAAUCCACGUGUGGAUUUUUGCAUGUACCGUAUGAAUAAGGAUCGGCUAACUCCGUGCCAGCAGCCGCGGUAAUACGGAGGAUCCGAGCGUUAUCCGGAUUUAUUGGGUUUAAAGGGAGCGUAGAUGGGUUGUUAAGUCAGUUGUGAAAGUUUGCGGCUCAACCGUAAAAUUGCAAUUGAUACUGGCAGUCUUGAGUACAGUUGAGGUAGGCGGAAUUCGUGGUGUAGCGGUGAAAUGCUUAGAUAUCACGAAGAACUCCGAUUGCGAAGGCAGCUUACUAACCUGUAACUGACAUUGAUGCUCGAAAGUGUGGGUAUCAAACAGGAUUAGAUACCCUGGUAGUCCACACGGUAAACGAUGAAUACUCGCUGUAGGCGAUAUACAGUCUGCGGCCAAGCGAAAGCAUUAAGUAUUCCACCUGGGGAGUACGCCGGCAACGGUGAAACUCAAAGGAAUUGACGGGGGCCCGCACAAGCGGAGGAACAUGUGGUUUAAUUCGAUGAUACGCGAGGAACCUUACCCGGGCUUAAAUUGCAACCGAAUAUGGCGGAAACGCUAUAGCUAGCAAUAGCGGUUGUGAAGGUGCUGCAUGGUUGUCGUCAGCUCGUGCCGUGAGGUGUCGGCUUAAGUGCCAUAACGAGCGCAACCCUUG
rnacentral:rRNA from 1 species